rnacentral:rRNA from 2 species
GCUUCCGUUGAAUGACGGGCUUGCUCUGAUUUUAACAAAGAACCGAGUGGGGAAAUGGUGAGUAACACGUGGGAAAUUUGCCCAGAAGCCGGGGAUUACCCUUGGAAACAGGUGCUAAUGCCGUAUAACAACAAAAUCCGCAUGGAUUUUGUUUGAAAGGGGGAUUUGGCUAUCACUUUUGGAUGAUCCCGCGGCGUCUUAGUUAGUUGGUGAGGUAAAGGCCCACCAAGAAGAUGAUAAGUUGCCGACCUGAGAGGGUUAUUGGCCACAUUGGGAAUGAGACACGGCCCAAACUCCUACGGGAGGCAGCAGUAGGGAAUUUUCCACAAUGGACGAAAGUUUGAUGGAGCAAUGCCGCGUGAGUGAAGAAGGGUUUCGGCUCGUAAAACUUUGUUGUUAAAGAAGAACACCUUUGAGAGUAACUGUUCAAGGGUUGACGGUAUUUAACCAGAAAGCCACGGCUAACUACGUGCCAGCAGCCGCGGUAAUACGUAGGUGGCAAGCGUUGUCCGGAUUUAUUGGGCGUAAAGCGAGCGCAGGCGGUUUUUUAAGUCUGAUGUGAAAGCCUUCGGCUUAACCGGAGAAGUGCAUC